GAUGAACGCUGGCGGCGUGCCUAAUACAUGCAAGUCGAGCGAACAGACGAGGAGCUUGCUCCUCUGACGUUAGCGGCGGACGGGUGAGUAACACGUGGAUAACCUACCUAUAAGACUUGGAUAACUUCGGGAAACCGGAGCUAAUACCGGAUAAUAUAUUGAACCGCAUGGUUCAAUAGUGAAAGACGGUUUUGCUGUCACUUAUAGAUGUAUCCGCGCCGCAUUAGCUAGUUGGUAAGGUAACGGCUUACCAAGGCAACGAUGCGUAGCCGACCUGAGAGGGUGAUCGGCCACACUGGAACUGAGACACGGUCCAGACUCCUACGGGAGGCAGCAGUAGGGAAUCUUCCGCAAUGGGCGAAAGCCUGACGGAGCAACGCCGCGUGAGUGAUGAAGGUCUUCGGAUCGUAAAACUCUGUUAUUAGGGAAGAACAAAUGUGUAAGUAACUAUGCACGUCUUGACGGUACCUAAUCAGAAAGCCACGGCUAACUACGUG
rnacentral:rRNA from 1 species